rnacentral:lncRNA from 1 species
UGUAUUUUUUAACAUUCUCCAUCUUGACUCUUUUGUACUAAAUCACUCUCUCUUAUCUUAUCACCCCCUCUUACUCUUUUGUACUAAAUCACUCUCUCUCAUCUUAUCACCCCUUCUUCUUGAGGGAUCUCGAUACUAACUGUCACGCUUCGGAGCAGCCAAUUUGGUCGGUUCGGACACGCGAACAGACGUCGAACGGACAGCACCUCCCCUGUCCGCCCAAGGCUCGAACAACAUAUAUAAUACAAACAAUUCAAUACACAUGAAUGCAAUUAUACAA